rnacentral:rRNA from 1 species
GUCGAGCGAACAGACGAGGAGCUUGCUCCUCUGACGUUAGCGGCGGACGGGUGAGUAACACGUGGAUAACCUACCUAUAAGACUGGGAUAACUUCGGGAAACCGGAGCUAAUACCGGAUAAUAUAUUGAACCGCAUGGUUCAAUAGUGAAAGACGGUUUUGCUGUCACUUAUAGAUGGAUCCGCGCCGCAUUAGCUAGUUGGUAAGGUAACGGCUUACCAAGGCGACGAUGCGUAGCCGACCUGAGAGGGUGAUCGGCCACACUGGAACUGAGACACGGUCCAGACUCCUACGGGAGGCAGCAGUAGGGAAUCUUCCGCAAUGGGCGAAAGCCUGACGGAGCAACGCCGCGUGAGUGAUGAAGGUCUUCGGAUCGUAAAACUCUGUUAUUAGGGAAGAACAAAUGUGUAAGUAACUAUGCACGUCUUGACGAUACCUAAUCAGAAAGCCACGGCUAACUACGUGCCAGCAGCCGCGGUAAUACGUAGGUGGCAAGCGUUAUCCGGAAUUAUUGGGCGUAAAGCGCGCGUAGGCGGUUUUUUAAGUCUGAUGUGAAAGCCCACGGCUCAACCGUGGAGGGUCAUUGGAAACUGGAAAACUUGAGUGCAGAAGAGGAAAGUGGAAUUCCAUGUGUAGCGGUGAAAUGCGCAGAGAUAUGGAGGAACACCAGUGGCGAAGGCGACUUUCUGGUCUGUAACUGACGCUGAUGUGCG